rnacentral:rRNA from 10 species
AUGCUUACAGCCAUACCACCAUAGGCAAGCCCGAUCUCGUCUGAUCUCGGAAGCUAAGCAGGGUCGGGCCUGGUUAGUACUUGGAUGGG